rnacentral:rRNA from 1 species
CCUACGGGGGGCUGCAGUGGGGAAUAUUGGACAAUGGGCGAAAGCCUGAUCCAGCCAUGCCGCGUGUGUGAAGAAGGCCUUCGGGUUGUAAAGCACUUUCAGUGGGGAAGAAAGCCUUGGGGCUAAUACCCUCGAGGAAGGACAUCACCCACAGAAGAAGCACCGGCUAACUCCGUGCCAGCAGCCGCGGUAAUACGGAGGGUGCGAGCGUGAAUCGGAAUUACUGGGCGUAAAGCGCGCGUAGGCGGUCUGAUAAGCCGGUUGUGAAAGCCCCGGGCUCAACCUGGGAACGGCGUCCGGAACUGUCAGGCUAGAGUGCAGGAGAGGAAGGUAGAAUUCCCGGUGUAGCGGUGAAAUGCGUAGAGAUCGGGAGGAAUACCAGUGGCGAAGGCGGCCUUCUGGACUGACACUGACGCUGAGGUGCGAAAGCGUGGGUAGCAAACAGGAUUAGAUACCCGAGUAGUC